CUGAUUUGCUUAAUUGCACCACAUGUGUUUUUCUUUGAAACAAACUUGCUUUGGCGGUGGGCCCAGCCUGCCGCCAGAGGUCUAAACUUACAACCAAUUUUUUAUCAACUUGUCACACCAGAUUAUUACUAAUAGUCAAAACUUUCAACAACGGAUCUCUUGGUUCUCGCAUCGAUGAAGAACGCACGCGAAAUGCGAUACGUAAUAUGAAUUGCAGAUAUUCGUGAAUCAUCGAAUCUUUGAACGCACAUUGCGCCCUCUGGUAUUCCGGAGGGCAUGCCUGUUUGAGCGUCGUUUCUCCCUCAAACCGCUGGGUUUGGUGUUGAGCAAUACGACUUGGGUUUGCUUGAAAGACGGUAGUGGUAAGGCGGGAUCGCUUUGACAAUGGCUUAGGUCUAACCAAAAACAUUGCUUGCGGCGGUAACGUCCACCACGUAUAUCUUCAAACUUUGACCUCAAAUCAGGUAGGACUACCCGCU
rnacentral:misc_RNA from 1 species